rnacentral:rRNA from 1 species
AACGAACGCUGGCGGCGUGCCUAACACAUGCAAGUCGAGCGAGAACGGGGGGCAACCCCCUACGUACAGCGGCGCACGGGUGAGUAACACGUAGGUACCUACCUCCGAGCUUGGGAUAACCUGCCGAAAGGUGGGCUAAUACCGGAUAUGACCACGGGAGUUUCGGCUCCUGCGGUGAAAGGUGGCCUCUGCUUGCAAGCUACCACUCAGAGAUGGGCCUGCGCGCCAUUAGCAGUUGGCGGGGUAACGGCCCACCAAGGCUAUGAUGGCUAGCUGGUCGUGAGAGGAUGGCCAGCCACACUGGGACUGACACACGG